GAUGAACGCUAGCUACAGGCUUAACACAUGCAAGUCGAGGGACCGGCGCACGGGUGAGUAACACGUAUCCAACCUGCCCUUUACUCGGGGAUAGCCUUUAGAACGAAAGAUUAAUACCCGAUGUAAAGGCGGGGGAUGCGUUCCAUUAGGUUGUUGGUGAGGUAACGGCUCACCACACCUUCGAUGGGUAGGGGUUCUGAGAGGAAGGGCCCCCACAAUGGAACUGGGACACGGUCCAAACUCCUACGGGAGGCAGCAGUGAGUAAUAUUGGUCAAUGGGCGGUAGCCUGAACCAGCCAAGUAGCGUGAAGGAUGAAGGCUUAUGGGUCGUAAACUGCUUUUAUAUAAGAAUAUGUAUUAUAUGAAUAAGGAUCGGCUAACUCCGUGCCAGCAGCCGCGGUAAUUC
rnacentral:rRNA from 1 species